rnacentral:rRNA from 1 species
AUUGAACGCUGGCGGCAGGCCUAACACAUGCAAGUCGAACGGUAACAGGUAUCUGCUUGCUGAUUCGCUGACGAGUGUCGUACGGGUGAGUAAUGUCUGGGAAACUGCCUGAGUGAGGGGGUGAAUGACUGGAAACGGUAGCUAAUACCGCAUAACUGUGCUAGACCAAAGAGGGGGACCUUCGGGCUGCGUUUCUUCGUGUGUGCGCGGAUGUGAUUAGCUAGUAGGUGGGGUAACGGCUUACCUAGGCGACGAUCCCUAGCUGGUCUGAGAGGAUGACCAGCCCCACUGGACCUGAGACACGGUCCAGCCUCCUACGGGAGACAGCAGUGGCACAUAUUGCACAAUGGGCGAAAGCCUGAUGCAGCCAUGCCGCGUGCAUGAAGAAGAACUUCGGGUUGUAAAGUACUUUCAGCGGGGAGGCAAAAAAUAAAGUUAAUACCUUUGCUCAUUGACGUUACCCGCAGAAGAAGCACCGGCUAACUCCGU